UUUAUGGAGAGUUUGAUCCUGGCUCAGGAUGAACGCUGGCGGCGUGCCUAAUACAUGCAAGUCGAGCGAACAGAUAAGGAGCUUGCUCCUUUGACGUUAGCGGCGGACGGGUGAGUAACACGUGGGUAACCUACCUAUAAGACUGGAAUAACUCCGGGAAACCGGGGCUAAUGCCGGAUAACAUGUUGAACCGCAUGGUUCUACAGUGAAAGACGGUCUUGCUGUCACUUAUAGAUGGACCCGCGCCGUAU
rnacentral:rRNA from 1 species